AGCGCUAGAAAGGAAUCGUUAAAAGCAUCUCAAAGUUAAGAGAAUAAAAGUUAAAAGAAUGAGGACAAAUCAAAGCACCGGUACCUGCUAAUCUAUUUAGUAACCUUACCAUUAUAUCAAGAAAGACUACAAUCAUAAGGAAAGAUACAACAAUUUAUCCGUAACUCCUCCAUGUUUUUGUUGGUUCCACUUCAUUGCCUUUUCUUUUUCGUCAAGUAACUGAAUCUAUGUUUCCUUCCUUUGCAUCUGUUGAAAAUAACACAUCUACUUCUGUCCCUUUUCCUCUUAAUCUCUUGGGUAACUUAUCCCUCCAUCAAAAAAAAAUUGUAAUUAAGAGGUUAUGUUUCUAUCCUUCGAGUAUAAACAUAUUGAUACUUGAAACGGCACAACUGAGCCCAUCUGGAAGAUCAGCACCUAAAGUCCUAAAUGAGCAAAAUGAAUAGUUUCAUUUGACUAACUGACAGAAAACUAAAUCAGAAUUCUUCUAGUUAAGAUAACAGCUGCAUUAUCAUCCUAUUUGUGUGGUGUUUCCAUUCAUGUAAAUAAACUGAAACAGAAAAUGUGGAAUGCACCAAAGUAGUAAACAACUACUGGACUCAUCACACAGAGGUAGAGACACAAUUUGAUCGGUUGAAAACACAAUUCAAGAAUCAGUUUAUUUAUUUCUACGGAUACAAUACACUUCUUAAUUUUAAGAAACUUCUUUUUCCAAACAUCUCUUUGGCUUUUAUCUAAGAAUUGGCAUGCCACCUCUGUUCUGUAUUUGGUAUAUACAAGAAAAUACAAAUAUACAACUGUUUCCUCAUUGACAAUCUUCUUUGCAGUCUAGAACUAAUAUAGAGAAUUUCAAUAGCAAGUCAGGUUAUAACGUAUGUUAAAUCUCUUUUGUGUUCUAUACAUCCUUAGAUAUUUCAUAACUACUAGAGGUACCUUAUUUAAUUACUGCUGACAUUAAUUGCUCGAGGUCUCCAGCCAGCAACUAUAUUCUCGAAGAGCUCGCUGUGGAGCAAAAAUAGGAUAUCCUAGAGGUCAAUCACGGCUCUCGAAAACCUAAGCUACAUCUCUGCUUAAAAUUGUUUCGGUUAAUAAAUCUACUUCUAGAAAGCUCUACAAAAUUGAAAUCAAACAAAUAUCAUAUAUUUGAAAGACGUGUUGCUAUAUCUACCGGCAUCAGCAGACAUAGGCACAAUUCAAUUAAGUAUAUUUUUUAUAACCGGAGAAAUCCCCGAGGUUCCAAACUCAGUGGAUCUUGAGCAAAGCUUCUUCAACCCAUCUCCCCUCUAUCACCCAACCCCAGCCCACCCAGAAAAAGGGCAGUGAAUUUUAAAGUACUUCUGAACCUUUUAAAUUUAUUUGAACGCACCUUAAAUAAAAUCUUGAAAAUGCUUCCUACCAGACUAAUAGGUUUAUAGUCCUUUAUACUUGUCACACUUUCCUUCUUUGGCACAUUAGUAACAAAGGAUGCAUGAAGACUUUUCUCAUACUCCCCUGAAUUCUGCAAUGGUCACCAACAGCUCACAUUUGACUUUCAUCCAACAUUGUUGUAAAAAAGCAAAGGAGAAUCCAUCAGGACUUGGAGCCUUGUAACCAAGACAACUAUCCCUCGCCUCUUCUUCUUCUACAGCCCUUUCUAGCCACUCCUUCACCCACUCGCCUAUUAGGUUAAAUACUAGCGCCCCCAAUAUUUUCAUCUCCAUCUGAUAUCUUCCUUGAAAGAAUGUUCAUAAAACCAUACAAUGGCCUCCUCCACUUCCUCCUCCCCCUCACGCAAAGUUUUCCUUCCUCCUCCCCCUCACACACCUAUUUUGUUAGAAUUCCCCUUCUGUCAACCACAAUGCCCUCAAUUUUUGCCUCCAACUAGACUCUUCAGCAACCACUAGAGCCUUAAGCUCCCCCCUUGCCUACUCCUAUCUAACCUUCUCCCUUUAUUCGAGCACCCUCAUACUUUCCACAUGCCCAAUCUCCCUGACGUACUAAGAAGCCCACCUACAACCCUUAUGGUUGUCUCAAAAACACUUGCAUCAUAGUUCUUGUUGAAAUCCAAGGAGUUUGCAACCCAUUUUCUAGCUCUCUGAAACUGCUCAUCCAAGCCCAUAAUAUAUAGUGUGUCAAGAGAAUCUAUCAAGGUUGCUCCAAGACCACCAAAACUGUCAACACCAUUCUUUGUUUGCGGCUGUAGUUCAUCAUGGCCCCAUGCAUAUUUUUCGUAAGAGCUCCAAGCAUGAAGCAUAGCAUCUUUUACUCUCUCUCUUCGCUGAGCAUCGAGGAUAUUAUCUGGUGAGUCCAUAUUCUUCACCGCCUGACCACCUUCACCACUAUAUUUCUUUUUUGAAAUUGAUAUGUCUCCACCAUUCUUCAAUUCUUCCAGCAGAUUCCGCAAGUGUAUCACUUCUUCAUUCAACUUAGAGAUCUCUUCCUCGUGAUCACGGAGUAAAGUUUGUCGAUCCCAAAAGAAGAAGGUUGCAAAAACGAAAACAAUGAAGAGCAAGGCAAGGCGCUUAGGUCGUUUCAAAUAGUAAGCCGGAUUUAUGUAACGCCAUACAGUGGAAGACGAUCUACUCCUCGCCAUUCCACAGUGCAGAUCGAAUCGAAUCGAUUGGGUUUUGGGGAGGGAAAAGACGAACCAACAACAAGACCGAGUCAGUCACUGGACUUGUACGGAAU
rnacentral:misc_RNA from 1 species